AAGAAUCAUGAACAAUUUGCAGCAGAGCCAACUAUCCUCCACUAGCAAUAAAAGCACUUAUAGAAAGUGUUCCAGUACAUCUCUGCACAAUGAGUACACGAACAUGGAUUUGUAAAAGAUGAACUAGAACUGAGUUACAAAAGACCUGGCAGGCACUGCAUGAACAAGAUACACAAGAACCUCAAGACCCAGCCAUCAGAUAUCAGAUGUGAUGAAAGAAGGUGACAUCUUCAGGGAAAUCUUGCAUGUGGUGUGGGGAUGGAAUGUUAAUGGACUGGAGAAGACAGAAAGUCUACAAGUGUAAUGAUCUUCUAAUGUCCCUGUGAGAGUGUUAAGAUUCAGAUCUCUUUUUAUUUUUUCUCCUCAAAGGAAAAAGCACUUGAGGAAUAAACAGAAAAGAUAAAGGGCUGGUGUGACCUGAGGACAGUGAGCUGGGUCCAGAGGAGGCUACAAAGAUGAUCGGAGGGCUGGAGCACCUUCCCUACGAGGACAGGUUGAAGUGCAAGCUCGCCUGAACGCUGGGGUGCUGUCCUCCAGCCGCUCGCUCGGCAUGCACGCUCCAGCGAACCUGACUCGCCAUGGUUUGCUGCCACGUCAGUGCUGACCAAAGGAAGUUGCUGAGAACGUGACUCCAAUCUGGGUUAAUAAUCACAGAAAAAGGCUGUGCAAAAUGAGCUCCUGACUAGCUUCUCUGCAGCUUUGCUGCACGGUGGCAGCAGCGGUUGGGAAGGGCAACAGCUCACUGCCCGGAGAGCAAGCCCUUUCUCUUAUUUCUUUGCACAUAAAGAGAUCGGUGCCAAAAGGCACUUCCUCGCAGGCUGCCACCUUUUCAAGACUGAAAUUGGUCAGUCUUCGCAGCACAUUUAG